rnacentral:snRNA from 1 species
UGAGUUUCUCGGCCUUUUGGCUAAGAUCAAGUGUAGUAUCUAUUCUUAUCAGUUUCUCAUUUUCCAGACAAGACACAGGGACAGUAGAAUUAUAAUCCUCAAUGAUGUCCAUGAAAAUGCUAAAAUUGGAGGAUUUUAAUAAAAUGUAAUUUUACUUUAUUACAUUUUAUGCAUAA